GUGUCAGCAGCCGCGGUAAUACGAAGGGGGCUAGCGUUGCUCGGAAUCACUGGGCGUAAAGCGCACGUAGGCGGAUAUUUAAGUCGGUGGUGAAAUCCUGGAGCUCAACUCCAGAACUGCCUCCGAUACUGAAUGUCUUCGAGUCCGGGAGAGGUGAGUGGAACUGCGAGUGUAGAGGUGAAAUUCGUAGAUAUUCGCAAGAACACCAGUGGCGAAGGCGGCUCACUGGCCCGGUACUGACGCUGAGGUGCGAAAGCGUGGGGAGCAAACAGGAUUAGAUACCCUAGUAGUCC
rnacentral:rRNA from 1 species